GACGAACGUUGGCGGCGUGCUUAAUACAUGCAAGUCAACUGAAGCAGUGGUAGCAAUAUCGCUGUGGAGGUGGCGCACGGGUGAGUAACACGUGGGUAAUCUGCCUUCAGGUCUGGCAUAACUCCGGGAAACCGGGGCUAAUAGCAGAUGAUGCAGCGGCUCGACAUCGAGACAGUUGUUAAAGCUAUGGCGCCUGAAGAUGAGCCUGCGUCUGAUUAGCUAGUUGGCGGGGUAACGGCCCACCAAGGCAACGAUCAGUAGCUGGUCUGAGAGGAUGAUCAGCCACACUGGAACUGAGACACGGUCCAGACUACUACGGGAGGCAGCAGUAAGGAAUAUUGCUCAAUGGGAGAAAUCCUGAAGCAGCAACGCCGCGUGAGGGACGAAGGGCUUUUGCUUGUAAACCUCUGUAGUGAGAGAAAAAAAUCCCAAUCUUUGGGACAUGAUGGUAUCUCAAAAGUAAGCCCCGGCUAACUACGUG
rnacentral:rRNA from 1 species